rnacentral:lncRNA from 1 species
UAAAGAUGUACGUUCAUUGUUUGACUCAUAUCUUCGAAACCACGAGGCUUCUACGCAUGAAAUCACUUGGAAAAUGUGCUCAACUCAAUUACGGAGCUCCUCGAAGAAAAAUCAGAUCAAACGGACUUCAGAUGAAGGAGUUACGCAAUUUACAAAACAGGUGAUCUUCAGUUUAUGCGAAUUUGGACCUAUGUGCAUUCAAUGAACAAUUCCGACCAGCCCAGAUGGAAUUAAGCCACAAGCCCAAUUUUUCUACAAUCUUGGUACAUCAGAGAAGUCCAUAAAAGUGGAUUCAGCCCAAAAAUAUCAAAAGAAGACUGAUUUUCGUCCAGAUUUAAAAUAGUAUUUAUUUAAGUGUGUUUCUCUCUUUCAUCUUUCAUUCUCUAUUUCUUUUUUUUUUCUUUCUUUCUAUUUUUAUAAUUAUUUCGUCAGAGAGAAAGUGCUACUAGAUACUCUUCUUUUAUACGAACCAGAUUUGUGAGCAAAUCUUUUUUUUAAGAGGAAGGGAAUGAUAUGAUCAUGGGAAACAGUAAAGAUGUACGUUCAUUGUUUGACUCAUAUCUUCGAAACCACGAGGCUUCUACGCAUGAAAUCACUUGGAAAAUGUGCUCAACUCAAUUACGGAGCUCCUCGAAGAAAAAUCAGAUCAAACGGACUUCAGAUGAAGGAGUUACGCAAUUUACAAAACAGGUGAUCUUCAGUUUAUGCGAAUUUGGACCUAUGUGCAUUCAAUGAACAAUUCCGACCAGCCCAGAUGGAAUUAAGCCACAAGCCCAAUUGUUCUACAAUCUUGGUACAUCAGAGAAGCCCAUAAAAGUGGAUUCAGCCCAAAAAUAUCAAAAGAAGACUGAUUUUCGUCCAGAUUUGUCUAGAUUCAAAAUAGCAUUUAUUUAAGUGUGUUUCUCUCUCUUGCAUGCAGAAUAGAGUUUGAAUUUCAACUCCCAAGUUGUGCUGCAUGUUAGGAUACUUUUAUGGACGAAAAUUACUUGUAUUUCUCUAUAAAAAGAGCCCAAAAAUCAUGAAUAAGAAUAAGUUUGUUUUUCAGUGAAAAUUAGAGAAGUUUCUCUCUUUCAAGAUGUGAUGUCUUGUAAUUUUUGGAACUCCAUGUUCAUGGUGUGCAUGGCCGGCCUUGAGGGGAAGCCAUCCAAGCCAAGGAUUAGGGCAUCCAAAUUAGUGGGGCA